UAAAGUUUACUUAACCAGUUAGAGAGUUGGACUUCCGGACCAGAAGUUCUAAUCCAAAGGGUGCGGGUUCAAGUCCCGCCCAGAGUAA